GGAGAGGUGUCCGAGUGGUUGAUGGUGACGCACUCGAAAUGCGUUUCGGGGAAACCCGACGGGGGUUCGAAUCCCCCCCUCUCCG
rnacentral:tRNA from 1 species